GAAUAAUUGUCUAGUGGUUUGAUGUUGGACUAUGACUCUGAAGAUCAGGGUUUAAAUCCCUGAUCAGCCA
rnacentral:tRNA from 1 species